CCUACGGGAGGCAGCAGUUAGGAAUAUUGGUCAAUGGCCGAGAGGCUGAACCAGCCAAGUCGCGUGAGGGAAGACGGCCCUACGGUUUGUAAACCUCUUUUUUCGGGGAGCAAAGAGAGUCACGUGUCACUCCUUGAGUGUACCCUAAGAAAAAGCAUCGGCUAACUCCGUGCCAUCCGCCGCGCUAAUACGGAGGAUGCGAGCGUUAUCCGGAUUUAUGGGGUUUAAAGGGUGGGCAGGGGGAGGUGCAAGUCAGCGGUCAAGUUGCGGGGCUCAACCCCGUAGUGCCGUGGAAACUGGAUACCUUGAGUGCGCGAGAAGUAUGCGGAAUGCGUGGUGUAGCGGUGAAAUGCAUAGAUAUCAGGAAGAACUCCGAUGGCGAAGGCAGCAUACUGGCGCGCAACUGACGCUCAUGCACGAAAGCGUGGGGAUCGAACAGGAUUAGAUACCCUGGUAGUC
rnacentral:rRNA from 1 species